rnacentral:rRNA from 1 species
GACGAACGCUGGCGGCGUGCUUAACACAUGCAAGUCGAACGGAAAGGCCUCAGCUUGCUGGGGUACUCGAGUGGCGAACGGGUGAGUAACACGUGGGUGAUCUGCCUUGCACUCUGGGAUAAGCUUGGGAAACUGGGUCUAAUACCGGAUAUGAACUGCCUUUAGUGUGGUGGUUGGAAAGUUUUUUCGGUGCAAGAUGAGCUCGCGGCCUAUCAGCUUGUUGGUGGGGUAAUGGCCUACCAAGGCGUCGACGGGUAGCCGGCCUGAGAGGGUGUACGGCCACAUUGGGACUGAGAUACGGCCCAGACUCCUACGGGAGGGAGAAGUGGGGAAUAUUGCACAAUGGGCGGAAGCCUGAUGCAGCGACGCCGCGUGGGGGAUGACGGCCUUCGGGUUGUAAACUCCUUUCGACAGGGACGAAGCUUUUUGUGACGGUACCUGUAUAAGAAGCACCGGCUAACUACGUG